AGCUCCAAUAGCGUAUAUUAAAGUUGUUGCAGUUAAAAAGGUUAAAAAGCUCGUAGUUGGAUUUGUGGCGUACGGUGGGUUCCGGGCACUUGUUGUCUGAGUAACUUGCUGUUGCCAUCCUUGGGUGGAACCUGUGUGGCAUUAGGUUGUCGUGCAGGGGAUGCCCAUCAUUUACUGUGAAAAAAUUAGAGUGUUCAAAGCAGGCUUAUGCCGUUGAAUAUAUUAGCAUGGAAUAAUAAGAUAGGACUUUUUUGCUAUUUUGUUGGUUUGCGCAAAGAGGUAAUGAUUAAUAGGGACAGUUGGGGGUAUUCGUAUUCCAUUGUCAGAGGUGAAAUUCUUGGAUUUUUGGAAGACGAACUACUGCGAAAGCAUUUACCAAGGAUGUUUUCAUUAAUCAAGA
rnacentral:rRNA from 1 species